rnacentral:lncRNA from 1 species
CCAGGUUGCCCUCUGCAAGGAACCCAAAAGCAGAAAGCAAACGCCUGCAGAGGCCGAGAGCAUAAGUCUCCACCACCCCCAGGAAACUUCCUUCUGCCGCCUAAACCACCCCGCUCCGAGUCUCCGAGCUCCGGUUCCUUCCAGACAUGCAUUCAUAAACAAACCGAAGCAGCUCCAGCCAGCCUCACUAGAUCUUCCACUUCAGCUAUCCUGCCACACGCCGGGGCUCAGUUGUGACCCCUCCAAAAGCAGACAAAAGUCACAGCUGCUUGAGCCCAGCCGCCUCGCCCUGACCUCCCUCCUCUGGGGCCCUACCGCCGAUCCCGGGCGUUGUGGGGUAUCCCUUGGGACCAGUGCCUGGUCUCCCAGGACGUCAUCCGACACCGGCCACGCCCUUCUCCAGUCGCCCACCUUUCUGGAUUCUUGACCCACUUUUCCCGCGGGAGGUCGUGGCUACAAAGCGCUCUCCUUCCCUCCCUCUCUCUCUUUCCCGCCCUCUCUCUCUCCUUCCCUCCCUCCCCCAGCCCCCUUUGCCUCGGAUGGGCAGACCUGCCUCGCCGGUAGACGUCACCAAGCGCUGCCGGCUGUGCACCGGCUGUUGUCUGAGAACCUCUCCACUGGUGCUCAUCGUGGAUCCCACAGCCGACCCUCCUGAGUGAGCACUAUGUGCUGAGCACUGUCCUCAGUACUGGACACAAAAGCAAACAAAACAAAGACCCCUGCCUUGAAGCCAACAGGUCACAAUUUUUCUUCCUGGAUUUGGUCGCCUUGUGCUGUUUUCCCUAAUCAACAAGAUCUUUCUCCUGGACUCCAGCCUGGGAAUCAUCCUGACUCUCCACUUCACUUCAUCUCACAUCCAGUGAGCUCCAAUCUGGCCAAGGCUGUCUUCUUUUCUGUGGUGCUGGACAUUGAACCCGGGGUCUUUGCAAUCCUCCAGCCUCCAAGAGUGGUGGGUUUACAGGUAUGUAACACCGUUCUGGGCCCACAAGCGUUUAUCUCAUAGAACUCGAUAAGUCUCUUACCCAC